UAAAAAUAACCCUGUGUGUUUUUGGUUCAUAUCCAAAAUAAUUCAACAAAAUAAAUUUCAUCAUAAUUAUUCGUGUUAUAUUUUGUUUUGCGACACGAAACAUGUUGUUCCAUUGGACUAUUUAGCCCAAGGCUCGCAAGAGCAUAUUAUAAUAUGUUUGUACGUAACUCAUCACAUCCCUUCCAAAUUUAAAAAUAUUGGUCUUAGAAAGUUGAACUAUAUUACUACGGUCGUCCCGAGAUAUUGCCGGACAACCGGCGCGUGGUGUCACGAUUAGACAUUCGUUGCACAAUACGUUCAAAACACGAUUUUUAUUUCCGUUUGAUCUUCGAAACGAGGAGAAACCGCGUUACUCGAUCUCGAAGAAACGUCAAAAGGUAAUUGAACUCCAAAACCAUUGUUUAGCUAAGUAACUUGUAACAAUUAUUCGUUGACAAAAAUGAUCAAAUAAAAAUUCAAAAAUUAAAAGAAAAAAUACCUAUUAUAUUCUGGGAUGAUAUUGUGAAGAAGUCGUCUGUAUGAAUCGAAGCAACUUUUAUCUGCUGAUACAGUACUAUUGCUACACCCGAGAAAAAUCAUUAAAAAUCAAUUAUUAUUCAUGCCAACUGCAACGAAGAAUUUUAACAGCAAUUACACAGAGAACAUCGCUCUCACCUGUUGGUCGAGCGCCACGGUGUCGUGCGACUCGUCCCAGUCGUGCGGGGACGCGCUGUCGACCAGCGACGGCGGGAAGCGGCAGAAAUUGUUGACGGGCGACUGGGCGGACCGCUCGUAACCGUACAGACCGUUGCCGAUUGGUCGCGCAGUGACGUGCUGCUGAUGGUUGAGUUGAUGGUUAUUGGUCACCGGGAUCGGACUGCUGUUGCUGCUACUGCCGUUGAACUGAGGAGCGUCCCUGCGAUAUGAUAUAAUAUUGUAAUGAUUAAUGACAUUACGAUUUAAACGUCUGUGUAAAAAAUACAAAAAAAAUAACGGGUCGGGGAGACACGGUCGUGACAAAUAACUAAUAUGUAUUAUCUGAUUCAUAUUAAUAUUGUGUAAGUAUAUGAACUACACAGAUGAUAUAUAAACACGAUUAUAACUGAUAACAGGUGAAGUCAACAUCCACCGUUUUUGUGGGAAUUAUAAAUCUUAUAUCACAGAACAUCUUGGCCAAUCUGAACUAUUGCCUAUCAUCAACAAAAAAUAUUUAAAUACAUAACUUAUGUAUAAUAUAUUAAUACUAGAUAUGUAUAUGAGCAAUCAACCUAUGGUCCAUUAAAUACAUCACUUGGUAUAUUU